GGGAAGAAGAAGAUCUCGGUAAUCCCGGUGCUGGUGAGAGCGGACAAGCCAAGCCAGACGUCUGUGAGCUGUGGAACGGAUCACGGAUAGAGGAGCUGAGAGAAAGCUGACCCUCAGGUCAGUUAUUUUCCUGGAGAGAUGAAGAUGACUACAA